GAUGAACGCUAGCGGCAGGCUUAAUACAUGCAAGUCGAGGGGCAGCAGUUUUGUAGCAAUACAGAAGCUGGCGACCGGCAAACGGGUGCGGAACACGUACGCAACCUUCCUUUAACUGGAAGAUAGCCCACCGAAAGGUGGAUUAAUACUCCAUAACAUAUUGAAGAGGCAUCUUUUUGAUAUUAAAGCUCCGGCGGUUAAAGAUGGGCGUGCGUCUGAUUAGGUAGUUGGCGGGGUAACGGCCCACCAAGCCUUCGAUCAGUAGCUGAUGUGAGAGCAUGAUCAGCCACACGGGCACUGAGACACGGGCCCGACUCCUACGGGAGGCAGCAGUAAGGAAUAUUGGUCAAUGGACGCAAGUCUGAACCAGCCAUGCCGCGUGUGUGAAGAAGGUCUUCGGAUUGUAAAGCACUUUAAGUUGGGAGGAAGGGCAUUAACCUAAUACGUUAGUGUUUUGACGUUACCAACAGAAUAAGCACCGGCUAACUUCGUGCCAGCAGCCGCCGUAACAC
rnacentral:rRNA from 1 species